rnacentral:rRNA from 1 species
UACGUAGGGAGCGAGCGUUGUCCGGAUUCAUUGGGCGUAAAGAGCUCGUAGGCGGUGUGUCGCGUCGGCCGUGAAAACCUGGGGCUCAACUCUGGGCGUGCGGUCGAUACGGGCAUCACUUGAGUUCGGCAGGGGAGACUGGAAUUCCUGGUGUAGCGGUGAAAUGCGCAGAUAUCAGGAGGAACACCGGUGGCGAAGGCGGUUCUCUGGGGCAUUACCUGACGGCUGAGGAGCGAAAGUGUGGGGAGCGAACAGG